CUGAGAUGUGCCUGCUGGAUGUGGAAGCCGGCUUCGGUUCAAUCCAGCAGGGAAUAGUCUCAAUGUUUCCUUGUCUGGUUAUACCAGGUUCUUUACAUGUGAGUGUGACUCAUCACUUGUUGGUGCUUUCCUACUUGGAUGUGAAGCUCAUCUUGAGCCUUUUUUAAGCACAUUGGAGUGAGAGCUAAAGGGCUGCAAUAGAUUAUCUUGAGCCUUUUUAAGCACAUUGGUGCUUUCCACUCCUCGCAAAAGUUAAGG
rnacentral:misc_RNA from 1 species